UGCACAUGUAAACGACCACUUCAGUAAAAUGCGGUCUUUUCUAUAAUUGCGGUGUAUGUAAAGGGAAAGGAACCUUAAGCUUUGCUUGGGGAACUAGAAAAUUUCCUCACAAAGACACCAUCUAGGCCCUGGUGGAAUCAUUACCUUGGAAGAGUAAUACUUCUCUUGAGGCAGUUAUGAUGGUUAGUGACUACUACUCCAGAAGUUUACCUCACAUUCUUGUCAGCCACCAAUUAAAAAAGAAGCCAACUGAAAAGACUUCAACAGGUGGUGGCUGGGUAAUGCUUUGCCCUGAAACUGAUAAGCCGGAAGGCUAAAGAAGUUUCAAGGAAGUCAGUCAGAAGUCUUGCAAAGACGGCUAUCAGGGGAGUUUCAAAGACUGAACCAUCUCAGGGUGAGAACUCCUGGUUGAGUGCUUUGGAGAAGGCCUGGGCUCCACGCGUGGGAAGAGUUCAGAGUCUGGCAUCAGGAGGUUGGACUCUUCUGGGAUCUCUUGAACUUUUUUUAUUGUCCCUAUGGAAGUGGGGCAAGUCACUCUUGAACGGCAAUCCCCAAGCUCCCUUGAUGGUGAACAGGAAGCCCCAGGCAGGUGUAUGUGUGCACAUAAGCAUAUAUGUAUUGAGAUGGGUAAUUACACCACCACUUCUGUGUACUUGAUAUGACCCAGCUUACAGCAUUUUGUCCCUUUAAGUAGAAAAUCUUUCUUCCUUUCUCUCUCUGUUUCCUUCCUCCUCCCCUCCCU